ensembl:lncRNA
CAGUUUUGCAUUAAUGGGCGACCCGGCUGCAGGAACGUGGUGUCCGGUGCCCUCCUUGCGCCCUCGGAGCAGGGCUCCCACGGCCUGUCCCACGGCGUGUCCAGAAAGCAAGGGGCCAGCAGCACCCCGGGCUCUGACCCAAGUGUCCCCUCACCCUCCCCUUCCUGGGGCAGCAGGUCAGCAAGGACAGGGACAUGCAGGGCUCGGCCGGGCGCGGAGCCGGACCCUGUACCACCAGGCCCCACGCGGCCUCUAUCCUGUGCCACCCCUCUGAACCCCGCUUGUCCCGGGGGAGAAGGGGCCGCUCCCUCUCCCGGAACUGCUGUGGGUUUUCCGAGCUUGAUGUGAGGUAAAAAUCUGUGGACAGAAGUUCUGACCUCAGGAGCUGGUGUUCUAGAACCAAACAAGUCAAUGAGUGUGAUAUUAAGUGAGUGCAGCGGUGGAUGGUCCGUGGGAAAAAGAAAGAAGGGGGGUCAGGUGAGAGACUCAGGGAUGGGGGUCAGGGGGUGAGGAGGGAAUGAGAGCGUCAGGGGUUGGGGGUUAGGGGCCCAGGAAGCGGCAGACGCACAAAUCCGGAAUGCGGGGUGUCCCACAGGCAGCUGAUCCUGGGAACUCUACAUGACGUGAGAAGGAAAGUGAGGGGCGUGGAUCACCUCCACCGGAGACGGCAGAGCCUUCACGACCAAGGACGGGGCCUUGUUCGAAUCCUGAUUCCGGAAAAGCAAUGAGAGGAAGACAUUUGCCAGACAAGUGGGGAAGUUUGAACUUUAGAAGUGACAAGGACGCUGCAGCUAUGGUAGAAGACAUCCACGUGAGGUCUGGGAUUUGCUUUAAAACACGUUGGCAGGAAGAGGGGUGAGAGCUGGAGGGAGUGGGGCAAAUCCUGGUCCCUGUGGAAUCCAAGUGAUGGGAAUGUGGAGGCGCAUUAUAUUCUUCUGGGUGAAAAUAUCCACAAUAACUGUUCAGUUGUGCUCGGUUUAUUAUUUCCGAUUGCUGUUUACUUGAGGAAGUAUCACAGGAUAUCUCGAAAUGCAGACCAGGAAUCGCCCUGUCGUUUUGGCUCCUCACCAUGUUGACCGGGCAGGAACAGGGCACUUCACGUGGGCGUGAGCCCAGGGACGGCGGAGAUUCCCGCUUCUUCUGCAGGCGGGACUCUCGGGAGCCUCCGGCCAGGUCCUGGAGCCGGGGAGGGGAUCUUCCUUACCCUCCGUCUGAAGCUGCCAGCCUGCUCGUGACAGAAGUUGACCGGCUGACAGCGAUUUUAUGCAGAGCUGAGCACCACAGCCAGGGCCUGUCACCCCAGCUCUCAAGUGAAGAUCCAGGGGUAUUUUCAAGCAGAAAUAAUGGGCCGUUGUGGCCUUUUAAAGAGAUAUGAUUUAUCUCUGGGACCGCAUCCAGGCCGGAUGCUGGAGGACAAGCCCAGGCUCCCUGGCCAGCGAGGAGGUUUUUAAUCCCUCGGCGGCUGGUCUGCAGAUGGAGGACAGCUGAGGCCCCGCAGCCCGGGCGACCAGGAGGGGGGUGAUCUGUGCCGGGCACGGAAAAGCGGCUAAUGCAGGCGCUGCAGGGGGCGUGUCUGUGCGCCCCAAGGAGGGUGGAGAUUUGGGAAAUUCUGUGGAAUUUGAACCACACGAUGGUUAACUGGGCGACUCAGAGACCAGGUGGAAUGUUUUCAGGCAGAAUCAUGUGGUUCAGUUGCCUUCUUUCCUCAAAUGCAGGAAUUCGUGUUGGUGAAGAAGUAAAUUAUGAACCUUGGAUGGAAAACAGCUGCGUGUGUCCUCGGCCGUAAACGCAGAUCUCCUGAGCCGGUUAAUUGGACGAUGACAGACUCUGCCAGCUGUCUCACCGGGGCAUGCCCUCCUUUCUCACCAGCAGGACCCUGAUGGUCACAUGCUCCCUGAACCUUGUCCAGCCCCCUGCUGUCACGCCCCGUGACACCGUGCUAGGCAGGAGGGGGAACCGGAGUCUCCCUACCUCAGCCUCUUCCUCCCUCUCGCCUCCUCCUCCCUCCGAGUCCUUGGCGAUUCUCGGGCAGCGUGGUGUGGUCCUGCACGUCCCCUUCGCGGAGGGAACAUCUCCUGUGCGUCCCCCAGCAUCCACUCCCCUCCUUGUAUGAACAGACCCGACUGCAUGUGAGAAUUCACUUUCCUGCCUCAGUCCCUGUGUUUGGGGUGAGCUGACCCUGAGCCCCAGGCCCCGGGGAGCACACGAGCCAGGCCUGGCUGAGCCCCUACUGCCCAGCCCCGGACAGUGAUGGGCUCGGUGACAGGAGGGACCUAAACGGGCCCGUUGGUGACUCUGGGGCUCUUGGGGCAUCCCACUCUUGUCCCCGGCCUUGGACCUGAGCGCUGUGGGGCUGGAGCUGCGGUGGGUGGGUGCGUGGGGCACCUGCAGCUGCUGGGCCCUGAAUGGAGCCUCGGGUGGGGCAGGGUAGGGGAACAUGGGAGACCAGCAAAGUCCGGGGGACAUCUGAGCGCUCAGACCCAGCUCUGCCUGAAGACCAGGCCCCACUGCACCAGCCUGCUAAUGCCCCUGGCCUGAGCCACCUGAGUCUGUCACUUGUCACCAGGAGAAUCUCACAUGAACCAUGAUAAGGUUCAAUUUUGGGCAGAAACCCCCCUGGCCCCUUGGGAAACCUCCAACCUGUC